AUGGGGGCCGGGGCGGAGCCGAGGGAGGAGGAGCCCCUCGAGGCGGAGGAGGGCUCUGGCGGGAAGGAGGAGAAGGCGGCGGUGUCGUGCUCGAUCUGCCUUGACGCGGUCGUUGCCGCCAGCGCGGAGAGGUCCAUGGCGAGGCUGCAGUGCGGCCACGAGUUCCACCUCGAUUGCAUUGGAUCGGCAUUCAAUGCCAAAGGAGUUAUGCAAUGCCCGAACUGCCGCAAAAUUGAGAAAGGGAAUUGGCUGUAUGCAAAUGGUUCCCGCCCCUCACAUGAUAUUAACAUGGAUGAGUGGGCUCAUGAAGAGGACCUUUAUGAUGUUAGUUACUCUGAGAUGCCAUUUCGUUUUCAUUGGUGUCCAUUUGGUCGCUUAGCACAGCUUCCAUCAUUCUUUGAGGAAGGAGAAUCACCACCCCCAGUUACUUUUCAUGACUUUAUGGGACAGCAUGUGUUUCCGGAGAAUCUAUCUGUAUCUGCUGCACCAGGGGCACAUCCUUGCCCAUAUGUGGCAUACUUGCAUCCUCUUCCAUCGCUGGCAUCAUCAUCAAGCUCCCAUGUCCCUGAGAGAACUAUGGAUGGUUCCGCUUAUCAUGAUCACUGGAAUCACCUGGCUGGCCCAUCAGAUGGUAGGCCCUUGCAAACGGUGCCACCCACUGACUUCCAUCAUAACCAUUGGGCGCAUCUGCCCCAUUCCUAUGUGCAAUCCAACAGCAAUAACGGGGUGACGGAGCAGCCAGGGGUCCCUUUUGGAUCAAUGAGGGCUGCAAGGGUGGAUGGUGAUAGCCAACGUCGAGGAUCUGUUGUUUCUCCAUCGUACUUCAGUAAUGGAUCUGGCUCUAGAUCUAGAGCUCCUAAUGUUCCUCCUCUGGUACCUCAGUUCAUGAGGGCACAUGGCAACAUCAACGAACAGUACACUCAGAGUUCAUCAUCCAGCCUUUUUGCUGGAGCUCAUAGAUCAGGAGGCAUGCGACCUGCCCCUCCGCCACCUCAACCGGAGAACCCAACAUUUUGCCUAUUCCCACCGGGUUCAUCUGGCCAUAGUUCAAUGGAUACCGAUGAAGCUGGAGGAAGCCGAUUCUAUGCCUGGGAGCGCGAUCGCUUCGCGCCGUACCCAUUGAUGCCGGUCGACUGCGAGACGAGCUGGUGGAGCUCACAGCAGUCCCACGGCGCAUCAGAAUCCACACCCGCACCUGCACCAAGGAGACUCUUUGGGCAGUGGAUCGGCCUCGGCAGGUCGUCGCCCGAGAAUAGAUCGCCCGAGGGCUCAUCGUAUCGACAAAUGCACUCUCCUCGGAUGUAG
rnacentral:rRNA from 1 species